GAUGAACGCUGGCGGCGUGCCUAAUACAUGCAAGUCGAGCGAACAGACGAGGAGCUUGCUUCUCUGACGUUAGCGGCGGACGGGUGAGUAACACGUGGAUAACCUACCUAUAAGACUGGGAUAACUUCGGGAAACCGGAGCUAAUACCGGAUAAUAUAUUGAACCGCAUGGUUCAAUAGUGAAAGACGGUUUUGCUGUCACUUUUAGAUGGAUCCGCGCCGCAUUAGCUAGUUGGUAAGGUAACGGCUUACCAAGGCGACGAUGCGUAGCCGACCUGAGAGGGUGAUCGGCCACACUGGAACUGAGACACGGUCCAGACUCCUACGGGAGGCAGCAGUAGGGAAUCUUCCGCAAUGGGCGAAAGCCUGACGGAGCAACGCCGCGUGAGUGAUGAAGGUCUUCGGAUCGUAAAACUCUGUUAUUAGGGAAGAACAAAUGUGUAAGUAACUAUGCACGUAUUGACGGUACCUAAUCAGAAAGCCACGGCUAACUACGUG
rnacentral:rRNA from 1 species